rnacentral:tRNA from 1 species
GGGGUCUUGGCUCAGUGGUAGAGCACUCGCCUCAUAUGUGUGAGGCACUGGGUUCAAUUCUCAGCACCA